AGGCAGUAAAGUUUAUUACAUUAAAACUCAAUGCUGGGUCAGAGGCAUCCACACGGCCCUGAUCUCUGAAUCCUGAAGGUGUGGAACCAGAAGCCGCUGUGACUUGCAGGGUCAGGACUUGGGUCUGCCUGCUUUGCAUAGCUAGACUCCUAUGCAUCCUUUCAGAGGUCACCCAAUGUCCCAGUCAAAAGCAGCUGUUGCUCUGUGGCCAUAUGGCACUACUCCUCACAGAGCAGCGCCUGUGGAAGGAUCUUCCAACAGCACAUGGACAUAUGUCCCUGACGUCCACACCCGGGGCUACCAGGAAGCCCCAGGGCUGCGUCUGGCUCCUCACAUCCUUUUCCUCAUCUUGCCCUUCCUGGAGGGAGCACCCCGGCCAAAGGCGCCCUGGCGCAGCUCCUGGGCUCGGCGUCGGUUGCGUGCUGAAAGCUGCUUCAGGCCCCCUCGCUGCAGGAAGCGCUGCUUCUGAGCUUGCCGGCGCUGCUUGAGGAUUUGCUCCUUGGUCUUGAGUUCCGAGCGCAUGCGGCCUGCGGGUACACUGGAAGCUCGGGGCUGGGAUGUGCCUGUCAACACAGGGAUUUGGGGGGAGCUCAGCCUUGGGCCCGUGCUCAUCCCUGUGCCUCACCGUGCCUGGCUUUCUUCCUGUUCACACCAUACCACCUGCCCUGCCCACCUUGACUACGACCUCGCUUUCCACCUCUGCGGGGCCCAGGGCCUCGCUGGUUGGAUGGCCCUUCUUCCUCGGAGUCCCGGUCAUCAAUUUUCUGCUUCUGCUUCCACUUCUGGUAGCUGAAAGCCUCGUUAAGGAAGUAGCAAGUAGCACCCAAGUUGGAGAAAGGCCCCUUAUUACGGGGAUGCUGAGGAAACCACUGGGUCCCAUCGCAGGCGCAGCGCCCCCUCCUAUAGGAGCAGCAGCAAGACACCCGCCCCCGCCCCCAGGCGCAGCCCCUCCUAUAGGGACAGCAGCAUGACACCCGGCCCCGCCCCUAGACCUGGCCCCUCCUAUAGGAGCAGCAGCUGAACGCCCGGCCCCGCCCCCAGACAUGGCCACGCCUAUAGGAGCAGCAGCAGGUAGCCGCCUGGCCCUGCCCCUCUGCAUCCCAGCCUCUCAGGAUACAGAUCCCGCUUGUAAGAGCUGCUGAUAAACCGGCCGCUCUCUGUCUUGAUCUUUUUCUUGUCUUCUUGGCCUGACUGCCCCACAAACCGCUUCUUCUUCCGGUCCCUGAAAGUGAGAUGGGAGGUUCUACUUUGAGGAUUCUGUCGCCUCACUUAUAUAGUCAGUAGAGGAUUAAAGGAAAACAGCCAGUC
ensembl:antisense Gm43579 predicted gene 43579